AGUGAACGCUGGCGGUAGGCCUAACACAUGCAAGUCGAACGGCAGCACAGUAAGAGCUUGCUCUUACGGGUGGCGAGUGGCGGACGGGUGAGGAAUACAUCGGAAUCUACUUUUUCGUGGGGGAUAACGUAGGGAAACUUACGCUAAUACCGCAUACGACCUACGGGUGAAAGCAGGGGAUCUUCGGACCUUGCGCGAUUGAAUGAGCCGAUGUCGGAUUAGCUAGUUGGCGGGGUAAAGGCCCACCAAGGCGACGAUCCGUAGCUGGUCUGAGAGGAUGGUCAGCCACACUGGAACUGAGACACGGACCAGACUCCUACGGGAGGGAGCAGUGGGGAAUAUGGGACAAUGGGCGCAAGCCUGAUCCAGCCAUACCGCGUGGGUGAAGAAGGCCUUCGGGUUGUAAAGCCCUUUUGUUGGGAAAGAAAAGCAGCAGGUUAAUACGCCGCUGUUCUGACGGUACCCAAAGAAGAAGCACCGGCUAACUUCGUG
rnacentral:rRNA from 1 species